UCAGAUUGAACGCGGGCGGCAGGCCUAACACAUCCAAGUCGAACGGUAGCACAGAGGAGCUUGCUCCUUGGGUGACGAGUGGCGGACGGGUGAGUAAUGUCUGGGAAACUGCCCGAUGGAGGGGGAUAACUACUGGAAACGGUAGCUAAUACCGCAUAACGUCGCAAGACCAAAGAGGGGGACCUUCGGGCCUCUUGCCAUCGGAUGUGCCCAGAUGGGAUUAGCUAGUAGGUGGGGUAACGGCUCACCUAGGCGACGAUCCCUAGCUGGUCUGAGAGGAUGACCAGCCACACUGGAACUGAGACACGGUCCAGACUCCUACGGGAGGCAGCAGUGGGGAAUAUUGCACAAUGGGCGCAAGCCUGAUGCAGCCAUGCCGCGUGUAUGAAGAAGGCCUUCGGGUUGUAAAGUACUUUCAGCGAGGAGGAAGGCGUUGUGGUUAAUAACCGCAACGAUUGACGUUACUCGCAGAAGAAGCACCGGCUAACUCCGUGCCAGCAGCCGCGGUAAUACGGAGGGUGCAAGCGUUAAUCGGAAUUACUGGGCGUAAAGCGCACGCAGGCGGUCUGUCAAGUCGGAUGUGAAAUCCCCGGGCUCAACCUGGGAACUGCAUCCGAAACUGGCAGGCUAGAGUCUUGUAGAGGGGGGUAGAAUUCCAGGUGUAGCGGUGAAAUGCGUAGAGAUCUGGAGGAAUACCGGUGGCGAAGGCGGCCCCCUGGACAAAGACUGACGCUCAGGUGCGAAAGCGUGGGGAGCAAACAGGAGUAGAUACCCUGGUA
rnacentral:rRNA from 1 species